AAGUCGUAACAAGGUUUCCGUAGGUGAACCUGCGGAAGGAUCAUUAACACUUACACAAAGAAUCAAAAGGCCCUCAAAAAGCCUUUUUCUUUUUUUGUGGUUUUGUUUUUUCCACCGUCAACCUUUGGUCUUUUUAUUCUUUUUAAUAUCUAUCUUAGUUUCAUUACUAGGAUUUAUAUUAAAAAUAAUUCUUUAUUUUUUAAACCAAAACAAACAAAUUAUCUGAAUCAAGACAAUAAAAUAUGGAAUGAGAUUCAUUUCUUUUUUCUAUUUUUUUAUUGCAAUGUUAAAAAUUCACAACGAAAGCACAACUCUUAACAACGGAUAUCUAGGUUCUC
rnacentral:misc_RNA from 1 species